AAACACACCCUCUCUGGCCCCGCCCCCUUCUUGGGGGGCCGCUCUAAUUGAAAAAUGCCCGGGCCUAAUUUUUUUCCCAGUCCGGCCCUGUAUAUGAGUAACUAACUGUCUGCUGCUAUCCGAUAUUUUACUGAUAUAGACCAAUAUUGGUUACAUUGUAUCUACAACUUGACACUUUAUUGCUGCUGUUAUUUUCACUAUGUGGGAUGUGAUAUCUUUGCACUACAAGAACUUUGUCUGCCAAAGACUUUAUUGGACGGACUCGUUAUUUCUAUUCGUCUUUCCAUUUUUUUGGAUUCUAUUGGACUAUAAAGGUGUCUGGACUAUCUACUUAUAAAUUUGUAGCCAUUGUGUUAAGAAUAAAACCUUAAAGUUUGGAUGUAUUAUUUCCAGUAUAGUAAGACUAUUCAUUGUUUGUCCUACAGACUUGAAGGUUGAUUUGAAACACAAAAAAACCAAACGCUUUAAGUGAGCCCGAGAUGGGUGGAUGACUAAGCAGGCAAGGACUAUAGUAAUUUUACAGCCGUUUAUACAAACUUUAAAAUAAAACACUUGUCAAACUAACACAUUUACUACUUGCUUUUCAAAAUGUUUCUGAUUUUUUUUAUGUCCCUUCAAAUUUCUUGGCUGUGAUAUGAGGGAUAUUCAUAGAAACUGCAUGUCAAACGUCUCACCGGAUUGGAGAAUAGCUGCAUCCCAGUAAAACGUUAACACGCUGUGCUCGGGUGCGGAUUCUCUGAUCAGGGCACUGAUUGGACAGCUAGGGCACUCGGUAACAAGCUUUCCAGGGAUAUAAUAUAUAUUGUGUCAGGGUGCAGUCCAGCAAAAGGGGGU